UACGGAGGAUGCAAGCGUUAUCCGGAAUUAUUGGGCGUAAAGCGUCCGUAGGUGGCUAAUCAAGUCUGCUGUCAAAGCGUGGAGCUUAACUCCAUACCGGCGGUGGAAACUGAUGAGCUAGAGUGCGAUAGGGGUAGCAGGAAUUCCCAGUGUAGCGGUGAAAUGCGUAGAGAUUGGGAAGAACACCAGCGGCGAAAGCGUGCUACUGGAUCUGCACUGACACUGAGGGACGAAAGCGUGGGUAGCAAACAGG
rnacentral:rRNA from 1 species